GGUUAGCUGAGCUGGUAGAGCGUUACACUGGAAAUGAAGAGCUCCCGGGUUCGAUACCCGGGCCA
rfam:Ixodes scapularis strain Wikel colony gcontig_1108378383062, whole genome shotgun sequence.